CAUGGAUACAAUUUAAAUAAGAUAUUUUUUCUAUUUAAGGCAAUAUAAUAUAAGAUAUAUAUUUUAGUAUAACUCUCCUACAUUAACAAGCUUUAACACAUUCAGUGGCCAUGAAGUAUGAGUAGCAUCACGAAGGUUUUACGGAAGGUACUGACGACACAUAAGUUAUGUGAGUAGUACUGUGUAACUAAAUAAAUGAUUUAAGUAUGUGGUACCAGCCAAGUGGAGCUUGUUCGAGAUGGGCACCAAACAUGUUAAUCUGGUCAUGCACAGAGACUUAUACUAUAAUAUGUUAUAUCUUCUAUUGCUCACUAUUGUAAUGAGUGA